rnacentral:rRNA from 1 species
GAUGAACGCUGGCGGCGUGCCUAAUACAUGCAAGUCGAGCGAACGGACGAGAAGCUUGCUUCUCUGAUGUUAGCGGCGGACGGGUGAGUAACACGUGGAUAACCUACCUAUAAGACUGGGAUAACUUCGGGAAACCGGAGCUAAUACCGGAUAAUAUUUUGAACCGCAUGGUUCAAAAGUGAAAGACGGUCUUGCUGUCACUUAUAGAUGGAUCCGCGCUGCAUUAGCUAGUUGGUAAGGUAACGGCUUACCAAGGCAACGAUGCAUAGCCGACCUGAGAGGGUGAUCGGCCACACUGGAACUGAGACACGGUCCAGACUCCUACGGGAGGCAGCAGUAGGGAAUCUUCCGCAAUGGGCGAAAGCCUGACGGAGCAACGCCGCGUGAGUGAUGAAGGUCUUCGGAUCGUAAAACUCUGUUAUUAGGGAAGAACAUAUGUGUAAGUAACUGUGCACAUCUUGACGGUACCUAAUCAGAAAGCCACGGCUAACUACGUGCCAGCAGCCGCGGUAAUACGUAGGUGGCAAGCGUUAUCCGGAAUUAUUGGGCGUAAAGCGCGCGUAGGCGGUUUUUUAAGUCUGAUGUGAAAGCCCACGGCUCAACCGUGGAGGGUCAUUGGAAACUGGAAAACUUGAGUGCAGAAGAGGAAAGUGGAAUUCCAUGUGUAGCGGUGAAAUGCGCAGAGAUAUGGAGGAACACCAGUGGCGAAGGCGACUUUCUGGUCUGUAACUGACGCUGAUGUGCGAAAGCGUGGGGAUCAAACAGGAUUAGAUACCCUGGUAGUCCACGCCGUAAACGAUGAGUGCUAAGUGUUAGGGGGUUUCCGCCCCUUAGUGCUGCAGCUAACGCAUUAAGCACUCCGCCUGGGGAGUACGACCGCAAGGUUGAAACUCAAAGGAAUUGACGGGGACCCGCACAAGCGGUGGAGCAUGUGGUUUAAUUCGAAGCAACGCGAAGAACCUUACCAAAUCUUGACAUCCUUUGACAACUCUAGAGAUAGAGCUUUCCCCUUCGGGGGACAAAGUGACAGGUGGUGCAUGGUUGUCGUCAGCUCGUGCCGUGAGAUGUUGGGUUAAGUCCCGCAACGAGCGCAACCCUUAAGCUUAGUUGCCAUCAUUAAGUUGGGCACUCUAAGUUGACUGCCGGUGACAAACCGGAGGAAGGUGGGGAUGACGUCAAAUCAUCAUGCCCCUUAUGAUUUGGGCUACACACGUGCUACAAUGGACAAUACAAAGGGCAGCGAAACCGUGAGGUCAAGCAAAUCCCAUAAAGUUGUUCUCAGUUCGGAUUGUAGUCUGCAACUCGACUACAUGAAGCUGGAAUCGCUAGUAAUCGUAGAUCAGCAUGCUACGGUGAAUACGUUCCCGGGUCU